rnacentral:rRNA from 1 species
AUUGAACGCUGGCGGCAUGCCUUACACAUGCAAGUCGAACGGCAGCACGGGAGCAAUCCUGGUGGCGAGUGGCGAACGGGUGAGUAAUAUAUCGGAACGUGCCCAGUCGUGGGGAUAACGUAGCGAAAGCUACGCUAAUACCGCGUACGAUCUAUGGAUGAAAGGCGGGGGAUCGCAAGACCUCGCGCGAUUGGAGCGGCCGAUAUCAGAUUAGGUAGUUGGUGAGGUAAAGGCUCACCAAGCCGACGAUCUGUAGCUGGUCUGAGAGGACGACCAGCCACACUGGGACUGAGACACGGCCCAGACUCCUACGGGAGGCAGCAGUGGGAAUUUUGGACAAUGGGCGCAAGCCUGAUCCAGCAAUGCCGCGUGCAGGAUGAAGGCCU